AUUGAACGCUGGCGGCAUGCUUUACACAUGCAAGUCGAACGGUAACAGGCCUUCGGGUGCUGACGAGUGGCGAACGGGUGAGUAAUGCAUCGGAACGUACCCAGAGGUGGGGGAUAACGCAGCGAAAGCUGUGCUAAUACCGCAUGUGAUCUGAGGAUGAAAGCGGGGGACCGAGCAGCAAUUUUUGGCCUCGCGCCUUUGGAGCGGCCGAUGUCGGAUUAGCUAGUUGGUGGGGUAAAGGCCUACCAAGGCGACGAUCCGUAGCUGGUCUGAGAGGACGACCAGCCACACUGGGACUGAGACACGGCCCAGACUCCUACGGGAGGCAGCAAUGGGGAAUUUUGGACAAUGGGCGCAAGCCUGAUCCAGCAAUGCCGCGUGCGGGAAGAAGGCCUUCGGGUUGUAAACCGCUUUUGGCAGGAACGAAACGGUGUCCGCUAAUACCGGGCGCUAAUGACGGUACCUGCAGAAUAAGCACCGGCUAACUACGUG
rnacentral:rRNA from 1 species